GUUUCAAACAAGUAUUUGCUGUGUUGCCAAAGUAGAAAGAGCAGAAGGGAAACAUCAUGGGAAGAAAGACUAUUUUGUUUCUGAUUGCAGGGGUCCUUGGGGCAUAUUAUGUUUAUACUCCUCUCUCAGAUAAUAUUGAGGAACUCUGGUGACUGGUGUGGAUAGCUACACCUGUGAAAAUGGUAACAAAUUUGCUACAGAAUAGCACCUAAAUAUCAUUUUCCAGAUCAAUUUGAAGAUGUAUAUAAUGCACUAAGAUGGUUGUUAUGCCAAGAUAUUCUUGAAAAAUAUCGUAGAGAGCCUAAAAGAAUUGGCAUUUCUGGAGACACUGCUGGUGGAAAUUUAGCUGCAGCAGUGACCCAACUGCUCAUAGAAGACCCAGAUGUCAAGAUCAAACUCAAGCUUCAGUCUUUAAUAUAUCCUGCCCUUCAGACGCUUGACAUGGAUUUACUAUCACAUCAGAAAAAACUAGACUCUCUAGUUCUGUCCAAACCAUUCAUGGUCAGGUUCUGUAGGGAAUACUUUACCACAGACAGAUCACUUGAAAAAGUCAUGUUCUUCAACAUGUACCAAUGGAAUCAAACCAUCUGUUCAGAUUUGUUAAUUGGAGUUCCUUGCUCACUGAGAAGUUUAAGAAAGGCCACUUUUGUUAUAUUCCAACUCGUGGUAGUUCUGAGCUAGCUAAAAAAUAUCCAGGGUUCCUAGAUGUGAGGGCAGCCCCUUUGUUGGCCAAUGACAAGUUACAUGGUUUACCCCUGUCCUAUAUCAUCACCUGUCAAUAUGACAUCUUAAGAGAUGAUGGACUCAUGUACAUCACGCGACUUUAGAACUCUGGAGUUCAAGUGACACAUAACCACAGUGAAGAUGGAUUCCAUGGAGCACUUUCCUAUAAUGGGCUUAAAAUUGAGUAUGGAAUAGAAAAUCAGUAUAUGAGUUGGCUAAGUGAAAAUCUAUAGUAAAAAUGUAAGCAAUGGUUUAUUUAAAAUGUAUAAGGCUCAGAACAGGAAACAAAUUAGUGAAAAUCAAAGGGUUGAUGUUUGAAUUGGUCUUUAUCAUCUGUGACCUUUCUAAGGUCCUCAUAGCCAUAGUGGGUUUUGGUUUUGUUUUUAUUUAUUGGCCGCUAGCAAAUUCUUCUCCAUUUUAUUUAUUAUCCUGUUAUUCACUCACUUCUGUGAAGAUACUUUAGUAUUUUCUUCUGCUACCAUUACUCACUUGUUAAAUCUCUAGUUUACAGCUAUAGUUUUUUGAUUGCCGAAUAGUAUUACAGAUGAGAAGAAAGUUUUAAACAAACACGUCUGAUUUGUAAAAUGCCAGUUUUAGUCAACAUGAAUUUAGAGACUUAAAAUGUUUCCCUGUGAGAACUGAUAUGAAAUAUGUGCCAUCUCUUUUAAAAAGCAUUUGCCUCAAUAUAAUGCUGUUUGCCUGUCACUGUAAAAUUUGCUUCUUAAUACAGAUCUCUUCCAG
ensembl:lncRNA AADACP1 arylacetamide deacetylase pseudogene 1